rnacentral:lncRNA from 1 species
UUUCUAUUCUAGGGUUUCAUCCCUUUGGUCUACCUUUCAUUGGGGCAAGGGAAGACCUCCCUUCUUCAGCCCAGCUUGAGGGUUUCCUCCCUCGUUUUGGUCGGAAUGUAUAUAUUUUUUGUGUUUUUUCGUUAUUGACAACCGAGCUGAUGGGUGAGGGUUGCUUCUAGGUGCUGUCUUCGUUUGUCCUGUUUUUUCUUCUUUCCUUUGGUGUUGCAGAUUGUGUUAUCUCUGAUGUUGGGGCUAUCUCCAGAUUGUGUUCACGGGGCUAGACUUUGUGGUUGUCCCAGUCUUGCAAGGCUCGUAUAUGAGUUAGAGGUCUGCAGUCCCGUCUGUUGUCAUCCUUCCAUGGCUUGGAGUGCUCAAAUCCAUGUUCUCUUCCUAUGUUAUCAGAAGUGGCACAAGAGUUCUCACUAUUGUUCGGUCGCUGCUGCCUUAGAUUUGAUGUCUCUCCUUGGCGAUGGGCAUAAUCUGUGUUUUAUGGGCAUCUUGCUUUUCCAGCUACAGAUCUGGAUUGUGUCUUUGCAUGAAGAAUUUAUUGGCUUUUCCAGCAGCUAUGGUAGCUUGGAGAGGUGAGGAGUCCCUCUUUUCGGCCAGCUCUGAACGUGUUAAAUUUAACGUCUUUUCUCUUCUAUUUUCUCAUUUCUCUUUUCUCUUAUAUUGUGAUUGAAAAGGUGCAUGUGUGCAUAAGAUUUUGCAUUUAAUUUAACAGCAUAUGUAAUCAAUAAAGUUUUGGAAGACUCCUUGGAGUCUUUGAUCCAAAGAUAUGUCUUCUUCCUUGCUAAUCAGGUGCUUCCAAGAAACUUGAGUAAAAGCUUACCCUUACUUUGCCCUCUUACAUCUUUUAAUAUCUUUUAAUACCUUACUUUGUUUCACCAUUGCUAAGGUAUCCUUUUGAUGCAGAAGGAUCACAGUUAUUAUCGUCAAGAUAUUGUUGUGUUGUUAGGCGAAAGUUGAGUUUGAUCAGCUCCUUAUUAUCUUGCUUGGCACAGCAUGGAUAUUUUAGUUGACAGUUUAAGUUGCGUCAAAACAAAAUUCAUCAGCUGUUAGCCGCCACAGCUGCAGUUCUAACAUGCAACUGGCCAGCCUCAAGCAUAGCAGUCUUUUAAUUACAGAAUCUGGAUAUUCUAAAUACAAAAACUGAAGUUUGUAAAGCCUUAAGUUUAAGUUUUCGUUAGAGCUAAUUGUAUAAAAAUAAUAAAAUAAAUAAAUAAAGCCACCUCAUAAGAAUUUUGUAAAAGAAAAAGUGAGAAAAUAAUAUCUAGUUUAACGAUUUUUCAACCCACAUUACCACACGCAAGGAGCAAUUUCAUGUGCAGACAACAGAGUGACCUGACACGCCCAGCAGCAAAUAUUGUGGACUAGUCAGAAGUCGCAGCUCUUGUUUGUGAACUGUAAUUGAUUUUAGGAACCCAACAGAUCACCUGCAACUUUCAAGAAAGUAUACAUUAAUAACAACAAUAAAGUCAUGAAUUUGAAAAUAGAAAAGAGAAAAAGAUAGCAAAUUUUGAUGGAAUAUGAAAUGCUUUUUCCAUGAUCCAUCCAGUCAAACAAUUACUGCUGUCCCUCUUCUCAACCUAAUAAACUCCAACAUAUUCACCCCACCUAGUUCAAUCACAUAAACAGCAACCUUAGUCUUAAGUUGAAAAAGUUCAGAAGAAAGAUUGAGGUCUGCAUGAUAAGUAGAAGUAGAAUUCGAAGUUAAGAGUUCUUAACUCGUUCACAUGAACUAAUAGUUUCCAAUCAAAUGUACAAAUGUGGCAAGAUUUGCGGAAGAAAACAUGUAAAGAGAGCCAUGGGUGGGGGAGGAAAGAUGAGAAGGUGACGGAAACAACAAAUUGGAUUCUUUGAGCUUUUGUUCUUAGUUUUAGACAACAGUACUGAAAAGAUUCUUUCCUACUAGUUACAUUUUACAGGAGAUAUCUUCCAGAUUCUUUUUCUUCCAGCAUCAUAUAAUUUAAUCCUCAUUAACUAGUGUUAUUGAGUUGUGUAUUCCUCUGGUACAAGGAAGUUUAAAGCUUAAUUGUGAUGCUUCACAUUCCAAAUCAGCAGAGGUGGCAGGAUUAGCCACAGUCUGCAGAGAUUCUAGAGGUUCUAUUGCUAAAUGCUAAUGAUGUAAGGUUAGCAGGUUAAGACACAGACAGGGGAUCAAGCUAAUUAGCUAUGGCCUUGACUCAAACUCGCGGUACUUUUUUAAUUAUAGUAUCAUGGUUAAUGGUACUUUAAGAACAAACCAAAGAAGGAAACUCAUUCACGAAAUGGUUGAUAAGAUACUCUCUGCAAAUUUAUCAAAUUUAUUCAGGACUCGAGAAUGAUGUAUUUCUCUUUACGAAUUGGUUUUCUUCAUUUAUGGAGGAAAUGCUGCAGGUUUUCAGAAUAAGAGGAAUAAACACAAGAAAAGAAUCUGCAAAAAUAAGCGAUAAACUCUUCUUGAAGAAAAAACACUAUAUUUUGACUUAGACUCAUUUCAGCAAUUGUGAGAUUUUAAAUUCGAGUUUCAGUCACAUUCUGACGAACCUAAAGAAAAAAGAAAUCUUGUUGGUCAAAUAUAUACUCUUGGACGAAAAUAAAAUGUGUAAAUCUAGACCAUACAAGCAAAAACUUGAAACCUCCAUAUUAAUUGUAAUCACUAGGUAAAAUUCGAUUUCAUGUCUAGUUACCAGUGAACACAGAUUAUUCAUUUAGUUGCGUUUAGCUGCUGUACUGCAUAGCCGCAUCAACAAUAUCUAUAUAUAUAUUUUUUUCCAUGAAAUAGAACAAUCACCAGAAGCAGUAGGAAGGAAAUCACAAAUGUUAAUGUAGUAGAUUAACAAUAUCAUACUAUCAUAUUCAUCAACUAAACUGUUUAUUGGAUGAUAGUACAACUAAUAUACAAGAGAUAUCAGAUAGCCUUGGGAUAAAAGAUCAGUGUUACAUACUAGUCCUACUUGAACCUCAGAACUGAGAGUCCUAAAGCCGCCUACCGGAGAUACUCGCACAUUCUGAAACCAAUCGGGCUCUGUUUAUCAUCCCACUUGGUUCACUUCAUCCCAGUAUGCUAACUCAUCAACUGCCAAAGUUUGCUAUUGUAAGCAGCAUUCCUGGACAGGAUUAUAGUCACUUAACAAAUGAGACUGUCUGCUGAGAGUUUUGCAGGUGUUAGAGUUUCAAAUUUCAUCUCCCCUUCCUUGAAAACAAUCUCAAAUCUUCUCUCAUUUUUGCAGGGCUAGUGAAAUCUGACUGCCUUUGUGGUCUCUUGAAC